rnacentral:lncRNA from 1 species
CGGAAGAUGUGUCAGCGAAAAAGAAAGAAAAAAAUCUCAAGUUGUUGAGAGUUUGCGCAGGGCAGUUUUGUAUUGAUUUGCAGGGGGCUUGAAUGAUGCAUAGCCUCUUCUAUUUAUAGCAACGGCUCCCCCCAAGGUCGAGUUAAAACCCUACUCGGACUAGGUCUUCUUCUCCUGAUCAGCACCAACUCGACCAGUCCUAUUUUCACUAGGAUUGUGAACCUAGUCCUUAACCGAGCCGGAUUGGCUUCCGGGUUAUUAAUCCUACCGAAACUCCCUAUUGCACUAGGACUCGACUUGUCUUGUGUUGUGACCUAGCCGACCUAGGUUUAGAGGCCUACGUGCUGAACGAUCCAUGGCAUUCUUAUCGCAAGGCCUUCCGGGCCGAGAAUGAUUCUAUACUCGGCCCAAACUAUUAUUUUGGGCCCAAACAAGUUCAUAGUUUUUUAUUUGAAUGUUGUAAUUGUUACAAGCUUUAUUCUUGCUUCUUUGAAUGUAAAUUUUGUUAGAAAAUUUGCCAUCUCAAAUGUUGUAGAUGUAGUUCAUAUGAGCAUGAAUUUUAGAGCUAAAAAUUUGGUGCCAUGGUUUUGGAAAAUUCGGCCAAAUCCAAAGGGUGGAUUUUUGGGUUCAUGUUUGUCUUGUUAAAAGUGUUUUCAAGUGACUUUUGGAACCCCUAUGUACCCUAGUAUGGUUAUAUGUUAUUUCCCUUAAGUUUGAGUGUUUUUUGGAUGUCUUUGGGUAAAAAAUGUUCAUGGAGCUUUUAUGGGUUUUUUUCAUGAAUGUUCUUUGUUGGUACCAUAUUAUAUUGGGCCUCGUUACUUGGGCCUCGGUACAUUAAGCCCACGAUAUAUGUAAAAGGAUGAGCCCCUUAUUCUAUAAAAGGGGACUCCUCCCCCUCAUAAAAAGGAGGUCUCAUCCUCACAUACAGAAGCCAUAAAGCUCACAAACAGAGAAACUCUCUCAAACUCUCUCUUUCUCUGGAGGGGACUCCCUCUCACACUUGUAAUCCAUACAUUCAUACAGAGAAAUACAAUCAACAUCAGUGUGGACGUAGCCCAAACAUUGGGGUGAACCACGAUACAUCUUUGUGUUCUUUGUGUUCUUUGUGUUCUUGUGCGUUUGUGUGAUUCACGGUCGGAUUUACGUUGGUCCAAGACCUCCGGUUUUGUGCAUCAACAUUUGGCGCCGUCUGUGGGAAACGACACAAAAAAUUA